rnacentral:lncRNA from 1 species
GAUUUGUUUAUCAAAAUGGAUACCCCUUUUGGUAAACAUACAUUUUCUUUAAUAUCUCUGCAAAUAUAGAAUGAACAGUCUUAAAAACACAAUGGAUGCUUUGUUUAAUACAUGGAUGAAAUGAUACAAACAUACUCAGUAUUGCCAGUUAAUGAUUUUCAGUCAAAAAUAUCGUCCAAAGAUUUCCCGGAGUUUUUCCACAUUGUUUACAAAAUGUAUUUCGCUAUGUUUAAAUUUGGCGUAUGCAUUUGUAAUGUUAUGAUGUGCACUCAAUCUAAUCUAAAAUGAAUCUUUAAACAAAACGACACAGCUAAAAAAAAUACUUAGUGGGAACUUGGUAGUAGAAUGUCAAAACAAAGUUGAACACAGAAAUACUUUCUUGUUGGAAAGCUAUACAUGAAGUUUACAACGAAUCCGGGUCCGUACGCCCUGAUUCUGGUUUGCCCUAGUUUCUGUUCGCCUAAUUGUUCGCUCGAGUCCUGUCGCCUGAUUUAAUUUUUGUAUAGUGUUGCGUUGUGUGAUAUAAUUGAGUGUUAAGUCAGUCUUCAUUGGCAGAACAUUUACGAUGUAUCAUUUUGUUUAUAGCUAGCUAGCUGCUACUAGGAUAGGUUAUAAGUUUCUGUACAUUUCAGGACUACAAGAUAUUGUGGCUUCAAGGAUUGCCUUGAGGACUAAGUUUGUAUCUGUAUGUAUUACGUUACUAGGAAAUUUAAGUUUCUGUGAAUUUAGCACUACAUUGUAUUUUUAAAUGUAAACAACUGAAGACUAAAUUAUUUGUAGUAAUUAAUGUGUGAAGUUUACAUUCACCGAAUAUUUUUUAUGAUGUAUAUUCUGUGGGUACUGCUAUUAGAAAAUAAGUUAGCACUGGUGAUUGUAUUUUAAAAUGUGAACCCUGAAGCCAAGUUGUUGUCUUGCUGCUACGAGGAUUAAGUUCUGUGAAUUCAAAGACUACAAAGUAUUUGACAUAAAACAACUAAAGACUAAGUCAUAUUUACUUUAUUGAUAUAUGUUCAAUAAAAUAUUCAUAUCAGUUAUAACAAUUAAGAUCAAUUCCGAACUCUACUUCGCACACCUUUACCCGGUUUAUCAGAUCAUGAUGCAGUCUUUAUUGAAUCAUCAGCAGCUGCAAAACGAGGGAAACCGGUAAAACGGAAAAUACACCUAUGGAAAAGGGCUGAUAAUGAAAAACUGAAAAAAGAAUGUCUAGAAUUCCAACAACAAUUCCUAGACAAAUACACUAUUCAGUCAUCUAUAGCAGAGAUGUGGCUAACAUCAGCCGCACUAACUACAUCCUAGAUUCAUCAGUACCAUCAAAGAUGACCACCAGCCGCUUUAGUCAACCCUGGAUCACAAAAGAGAUAAAAGCACUAUCACGGCGUAAGAAAAGAUGCUUUAAUAGGGUCAAAUCAUCAAACAGAUCAAGGGAUAAGAAAAAGUAUCAACAUCUAAAAUCUGCUACAAAAACAGCAUGCAAAAAGGCCUACAAUGAUUAUCUAACCAACAUAAUCUCACCAGAUUGCACUUCAAAUCCAAAACGCUUCUGGAGUUUUAUUAACAGUAAAAACAAGGACAGCAGUGGAGUGGCACCUCUUAAAGCAACAGAUGGCCUUACAUAUUCAGAACCAACGGCAAAAGCGAACAUCCUGAACAACCAAUUUUCAUCGGUAUUUAAUUCCAACGAACCAGAAGACAACAUCAAACCAAUGGGUAAACAGAAGUUCCCGAAUAUGUUUAACAUUAACAUCACAGAACCAGGAGUAUUAAAACUACUACAAGGCCUUAAAAUCCACAAAGCUACUGGGCCAGAUGGAUUGUCAGCUAGACUGUUGAAGUUCGUAGGCUCUGAAAUAGCACCAGUCUUCACAGUCUUUUUCCAGGCAUCCAUUAACCAAGGAGAGAUCCCAAAGGAAUGAAAGAAGGCAGACGUAGUUCCUAUAUUUAAGAACGGGUGCUAAGAACGCCCUGAAACUACAGACCGUCUCGCUCACAUCCAUCACCUGUAAAAUGCUGGAGCAUAUAAUCACGAGCAGCAUAAUGAAACACCUAGAGAAACAUACCAUACUAACAGACGCACAGCAUGGCUUCCGUAAACACAGAUCCUGUGAAUCUCAACUUAUAAUCACUAUCCAGGAUCUAGCCAAAACAGUCGAUAACACCGGACAAACAGAUGUCAUCCUCCUGGACUUCUCCAAGGCUUUCGACAAGGUUCCUCAUAAGCGACUUAUGCAUAAGCUACAUCACUACGGAAUACGGGGUAGUCUCCAUAGCUGGAUUGAAGACUUUCUCAACGAAAGAACACAACAUGUCGUUCUCGAAAACGGUAAAUCCAAUACUGCACCUGUCCAAUCAGGAGUUCCUCAGGGCAGUGUCCUUGGACCCAUCCUUUUUCUACUUUACAUUAACGACCUACCAGAUUACACAGUCAACAAAUCAUCAGUUAGACUCUUUGCCGAUGACUGCGUAUUGUACAGGGAAAUAAAAAACACCAAAGAUGCAGAACUACUUCAACAAGAUCUGGAAACCCUACAAGAAUGGGAGAAUGAUUGGCUCAUGGAAUUUCAUCCCAAAAAGUGCCAAGUCAUUCACAUUACCAACAAGAGGAAACCAAUCAGACAGCCAUAUAUCAUCCAUGGUCACGUCUUAGAGGAAGUAGAAUGUGCAAAAUAUCUGGGGGCCAACAUCCACCACAAACUAAACUGGACUACUCACUAGACAAGUAGUAAGAAAAGCAACAACACCAGGGCUUUUCUACAGAGAAAUAUAUCACAUGCCCACGAAGACAAGGAACUCUGCUACAAGACCCUUGUGAGACCACAGAUGGAGUAUGCAAGCAUCAUUUGGGAUCCACACACAGCAAACAACAUCCACAACCUGGAAAUGGUACAACGUAGGGCAGCAAGAUUUGUUACUGGUGACUACCACCGAACCACUAGUGUAACAAACCUAUUACACCAGCCAAUGGCAACCUACAAGAGCGUAGAGCAACGAAUAAAGUUAUAAUGAUGUACCGCAUAGUUAACCACUUGGUUGCAAUACCAACAUCCUGCUUAAUCCCAACAGCAGCAACAUUAAGAGGACACAACCAACGAUUCCUUGUUCCAUUCGCAAGAACGCAGCUUUACCAGUACUCGUUCUUCCCAGACGCCAUCAGAUUAUGGAACAGUCUACCACCAACUACUGUAGCCUGCAACUCAAUUGACACAUUCAAGUGUGAGUUGCAGAAGACAAGAUGUAUUAAGACUGUGCGAAAUUUUUAACUGUACAUACUAUUUUUUAACUGCACUGUAAAUUUGGUUUGUCUGCACCACGCAUCAGUUCGAUAAUACACCAGAUGGUGGUAUGAACUGUAUAUGGAAGAAGAAGAAGAAGAAGAAGAAGACCUUUAUUUCCUAAACGAAUAUUAAAAGCACUAAUUUGAAUUACUAUUGGUGAAACAAAUACCAAAAACACAGUCACACUGCUGUACAUUGAUUACUUGUCAUCAGUGUUUUUACCCAUUCAAGCUGACUAUUUUAUUUGAGAAAAAUGUUAUUUCCAUUAUUAAUCCAUCAAAGACAAUUCAUAUAACAAUCAGUGAUAUCAAACAUUUCAAAUGAUACCUUAUCAGCAAUCAAAAUUUUGGCAAAUAUUCUGUAUUGAACUUUUAAUAGAUAUACAUAUAAUAAAUUUCAAUAUAUAUAUAUAAUAUAUAUAUAUAUUUCGUUCAUUAAUGUAAUAUAUACAUAUCAUUAAUGAAUAUAGGGCGAACGGACUAUCAGGGCGAACAAACUCAGUGCGAAUGAACCUAUGGCGAACAUGUAAUCAGGGCGAACGAUCCCGAUACCGUUUACAACAGCAUGAUACAUUCUAAUGCAACAACAUUUGUAACGUUCAUUUUGAUUGGAUAACGUCACUUAUUUACAUGGCAUCAAGCGCAGACGGCAUAUGACAUAUUUUGAAUACAGGUUUUAACGUUGUUUUCUGUCAGUUUCAUUAGAAUGGAGAUAACAAUAUUGUAUUUUAAGCUCCGAUGGCAUCAAUUGGGGAUUUGAUGGUCGCAAAUACCCGUUUACUGUCUCCGCUAACGCGUCGCCAGUAAACUUAGUUUGCGACCAUCAAAUCCCCAAUUGAUGCCAUCGGAGCUUAAAAUACAAUAGUUAUAUCCUAAUUGUACAUGUUUGCUCAUAUAAUACAUGUUAACAUUAUGUUUGUUAAAUAAAACUUGCUUGGUUAUAUGUUAUGAAAAGGUAGCAAACUUUGAUUUAACAAUAUUAUUCUAGUAAACGUGCUUUAACAGAAUCAAUCUGAUUUUAUUGUAAUUACAGAAAAUAUAUCCUUAGGGGCCUAGAUAUGUAAUAUCACCUUCAGAGUUUAAACAUUUCUUUAAGAAUCAAACUGAUAUUUGAUCUUAUACAUGUUAUCAUGGUUAUAUGGAAGAAGAAACAUAAUAAUUAAAAUCCAGAAAUGAGAAAAAAUUACAAGAGAAGGAAAACGUUUGUACAUAAACAUGUUAAAUAAGUUUGCAUACUAAUGAGAGAGCUGUAUGAUUGAUAUUUUAAUAGAUUUAUAUGGGUCAUCAACAUUUUGCUAAUCUCUUGAAAAUGAUUAUGACACAGCUUUUCAUACUAUUAAAUUUAGAACACAAAUACAUACAUGUGCAAGAGUCAAGAGGUUUACAUCACUGUUUAUACAUAAAAUAACAUGCAAAUUUUGAGGGCAAACACUCAUCAGAUAUGCUGGUAUGUUUUUAAAGGCAUGUUGCUUGAUAUUCAAUGGAAGUAAAUGAAGUUCUAGGUACAUGCACAUGUAAACAGUAUGUUAAACAGGUCCAAACAAUUUCAGAACUUGACGAAAUGCCUUUUUACUCUUAAGCCAUGUGUCACACAUUUUAAUUUUUCUGGUUUAUUACUUUUGAUAUGCUUUAUAUUCUUUUUUUUGUAGUUGCACAAGUUACAGAAGACUUAAACACAAGAAAAAUAUUACAGACAAGGGAGACAAUUAUGACUUUCACAGGUAGUUAUGAUAUUUUUAUUAUACAUGUAUAUUUUUCUUCGAAUAAAACUUAUAAGUCUCAAAAUUUCGGAUGUUUCAUUCAUUCUCAAUAUUUUAAAAUCAAAAGGUUGUUAACUAAAAUGACAUAAUGUUUUUAACCAAUGACAAUGUUUUACAGUGAAUUACCCAUACACCAGCAUUCACUUUUGAAAUUCCUCAACAAAGAGUGGUUAUUUUAACUGAAUCACCAUGUGGAGUUUACAAACUUAUAUGACAGUUGUUUUCCAUUUGUUAGAUGUGUUUGGGCUUUUGAUUUUGUCAUUAUAUUAAGGACUUUUUGUAUAGAAUUUCCCCUACAGUUAAUUUUUUUAAUUCUUUUUUUUUUAUAUAAAACAAUCUGUGUAAUGUAUAUUUGCCAAAUCAAAAUGUUUAUGAUCAAUGUACAAUGUAUAAUCAAUGGAAUUUUUCAAUGAAUCAAUGCAUAUGCUGAAAAAUAAUUUUUGAAUUUAAAUUUUAUUUCAUUAAAACAGGCAGGCCACCUAAGGAUGCAAGCCAUAUAGAAGAAGUGAAGCAUAUGAUUGAAACCUUUCCUCAUCCAAACUUGGAUGGUGUAGUUCACCAACAGAAUACAGGUGGAACAGUUCCAGUAGAUAGUGAUAUUUGGGGAAAACUUUCAGGUAAUAUAAUUGGUACAACAUUGCAACCAGGGACUGAGGGAGGGGAUUAACAGAUAUGGGGUAUUUGUCAAUGAAACAAAACACAACAUCAAUAAAAAAAAAACACCUAGAGGUGAAAAAAGAGUCUACAAAAAUAAACAGUGUUAAAUUAAUAUAAUUAAGGCCACGGUUUUUUAAUUUGAUGGUUUACGGAUUUUCCCCAUGAAAAAGUCGGGUCGGUCGGGUUGGGAAAAAAAAAAAAAAAUCAUCUUUGAAGACAGAAAAAUAUGCAAAAUCAAUAUAUAUUUCACCUUUCUAACAAUAUGUUUGUUGUGCUAUUUUAUCAUCAAUUCUUCAAUUUUAGUUCGAUGAAUAUUGCUCAACUGUUAUAAACAUCGCAUGACAUUGUCUAAUAAUUUACAGUAAAAAAAGGGGGUGCACGGACAAAGACGAAAUUAAAAUCAUCAUUUCAAAAAACAAGAAAUAAUUCACGUAGCUCUUUAUCAAUUCCAGAAACUUGGUGAAUAAUGAUCUUCAAGCACGAAAACUGAUAAAGAAAAAAAUGUAAAAACGUCGUACGAAAAUAAGUUUCAACACACGGGUCAAAAACCUAAUAGACUCGUCCACUGGAAAACGAGAUUAUCGGGUUAAUCUGUUGUCUCGUAUUCCCUUUUUUAUCCAAAUGGACGAUAAUUUUUUUAUUAUCUAUGAAACAAGAAAAUUCCAAAUGAUUUGUUAAUAUUCAGUACUUCAAACUUGACGCCUAUCCUUGUCCACAUUUGGACAAGUCUAUUUUUAUGAAUGAUGCAUCUUACGGACUGAUGACAAAUAAGGAAAACGAACUUAUUUGUGUAAUUGUUUUAAACACAAGUUUCGUUCCGCAGUAUUAUUUGCGCAAACGACAUUUCAAGGUCAGUUAUAAUUAUUUGUCUAUUUUUAGAAACGUAAACUGGAAAGUUUUAUUUUCACAACAGAAAGUUUAUCAAUUUUGUAGUGAUUAAUGCAUUUCAUUUCAUAAAAAAAAAAACAAAAAUUUAAUUAUUUUCAGGGGAUAAUGCAUUUGUUAGGGUCGGCGGGAAUAAAAAAGCAUGAAAAGUCAAUUUUAUUUUUAUUCUGGAAAUCGGGAAAAAUCGGGUCGGCGGAUCCGUAAACCAACAAAUUAAAAAAUCCUGGCCUAAAUGUACAAUGUACUCAGAAAUAAUGGCAUGCAUUUAUUAUUGCUUUUUUUGAAGAAUGGACAAAAAUGUACAAUGAAUGUGAGAUUAAUUAUUGCGAUUUCAGAAAAGCUGCAUUUAGAAAUAUUACAAAUAUAAAACAAUUCAAAUGAGAAAACUAACGGUCUAAUUUAUGUACCAAAAAAUGAAAGAAAAGCAAGUAUAUAAUACAGCAACAAACGACAACUACUGAAUUACAGGCUUCUGACUUGGGACAGGCACAUACAUACAGAAUGUGGCAGAGUUAAUCAUGAAGGCUAUAUCCCAACCCUCCACCUCACCUGGAAUAGUGCUGUCACAGAAAAACAGAAAAAAAGAACUAUAAAUAUAAGUUGAAAAAGGCUUAACUCAUCAGAUGGAUACAAAUAGAAAUACAUCUAACAAAAAUAAAAAGUAAAUGUGGCCAGGUACUUGUGUUGUUCUGAUCAGUAGUAAUGCGGUAACACAUACAUGAGUAUCAAAUUUGAAAAUUGGAUCAAAAUCGUUUCUUAUUAUUCUUUAAAACAUUAGCACAAAAAUUUACAUAAGUAAAUAAUUACAAUAGAUCUUCAUGCAUAUGAAAUUAAAAUUGCAUUUUUUAAAGAUUUUUUGUUUUACAUGUUAACUUGCAUGUUGAUUAAUACACAUUUACAUUUUAAAUAUCUUUAAAAACAUGGUACAGUACACAAUAAUAAAAAAAGUUUCUGGGCACUCAAAGUACUAAUUUUACAGGUAUCCAUAUAAUGAGAAGUGCGUAUAUGUACAGAGAGUUUAUUUUGAUGGCAUCCAAUUAAAAAUUUGUUGAAUGCUAAAGAAGAAUUUUUCUCCACAUUGAAUCUGUCUUUUUUUUUAGAUUGGAGAUCGCUCACGCAGGAACAACAAAACGAAAAUAAAGAGUUUUUAUUAACAAGAUUUAGUAUAGAAGAUUUACAGUUAGCUUGGGACCAGUAUUAUGUACAGAAAGGUAAAUAAAAUGAAAUUUCAUCAUGUAAUAAACUGCAAGGUUUCUAAAGAGUCAAGUCCAAAUUCGAACUGUUUACUUUGUACAUUUUGACCAUUUAAUGACAGAGUUUGACUAACGCUUUAUUAGUAUACCAUCCUUAUUUUGGACAGUAAAUGAAAGUUGAUUCACUUUAAAAAAGAAAUCACUUUGGAGAUGGUUUUAUUGGAAGCAAUCAGAAAACCCAGUGAUUGGAAUUGAUUUAUCUGUCAUAUUUUUACCUGCCUUGCUUUAAGUGAAAGCAUAACAUAACUAAACUAUUGAAGGAAAUAAAUUUGGAGUUGGAGCUAGUUAGCAAUUAUAAUCACCAGCAAGAGUGAUGUUAAACUGGAGUGCCCAUUGUUUCUGUUUUGGAAUCUUUAUAACAGAAGAAAUUUAUAAGCUAUUUUUUGUAAAAAGCUCAUCUCAGUAAUACAAAUAUGAAAUCACUGCUUUAAUUCUGUUUUGUCCAAAUUUGUACAAAAAAGCCUCACUUCUGUAUUUACCUGUAUGGUAUCUAUUUGUUCAGAUUAAAACUAUUACCAGUUUGAGUUCCAGUUUUAAGCUCACAUUAAUUUGUGUGAAUGUGUGACCUUAAUAGUAGUAAGGUAUGUGUCUUUUUGGUUAGUUGUUCACCUCAUUUACAUCAAUAAAGGGGGAUGGGCGGAAGGUUCAUGUGUAUCCACAUAAAGGAAACCCCCCUGGUCCAUUGGCUCGAUUGUUCAUGUGCCAUGUAAGCACACAAUUUCUUCAAAACAGCUAGACCAAUAUUUGUUUAACACUACCUGAGGAUGUGCAUAAAGAAAUUAAAUCCUACCAUUUCAACAUGUAAAGGGGAGAUAAUUGAAUUCAAUCUGGCAAUCUGUCUGACCAUUUGUCAUUGCCAAAUAGCUUAACUGAUAUUAAUGAUACUCAGCGUAGUUGUGAAGAACUACCAAGGUUUAAACUAACAGAAUUUAAUCAAAGUAUAAGAUGUUUAAAGGGAGAUAAUUAAACUGUUUUCGAUAUAUUUGUAGUAUGUAAAUGGGUAUUGUCCUGUGAGUUCACUUACAUUUUUUCUGUUGUGGUUUGGAGAGACAAAUAAUGGUUGUUUACCCAGUUUGCAAUAUUAUUGCAAAGAAGAGUAAAGAGAUGAAAAAUUAGAAUGCCUAUAAUUCUUACCAAAUUAGAGCUCAUUUUUUUUUCAUUUUGUUCUGUUUUCAGGAGAACUACCAAACUGUUCACAGUACAGGAUCUUUAUAAACAACUGGAGAGGUAAUAAAACUAAAAGAAGGACUCAAUCAUUAGGUACAGUAAAUGUUUGGAUUGUUCAACCAAACUCUGAUAGUACAAUGAAAUCAAACAUCAGUCAUGAAUUAUAUUCUUGUGAUGAAAAAGGAAACUUUGUUGUUUAGAAUCUCUAAAUAUAUGUUAAAUGCUAUAAUUGGUUGAAAGUUCAAAUCAUUUUACUAUGCUGUAAUGUAUUCUUAUUUUGAAAAUGCUUUGAUUUCAUUGUAAAUACAGAGUUCUAUAAAUCUUUCAAACUGUCUGUAAUAUUUAAAUAAGGAAGCUUUUUAGUUUGUUUGAAAAAAAUUAAAUCAAAUAUAUUAAAAAUUACCUUAUAUGUCAAGCAUAGUUUCUUUUGACUAGUUAUUAUUUGGCGCUUUUUUCAAAACAUUUGAGAAAUCAAUUUCACAUGCAGAUGUCUAUACUUCUAGUUUGUGCAUUUGUUUAAUUGGUGGCUUCAUGUUAUAGAUAUAAGAAGAUGUGGCAUAAGUGCUAGUGAGACAACUCUCCAUCCAAGUCACAAUUUGUUAAAGUAAAUCAUUAUAGGUCAAAGUAUAGUCUUCAACGUGGAGCUUUGGCUCACACCGAACAUCAAUAAUAUGUAUAUAUUAGAUUAAUGAAUAUUUGCUUUAAUAUUCCACUCAAAGGUCAUAAUUGUUCAAAGAUGAUGGAUAAAAACAAAACUAAUCAAAUCAAACAGUUGUAUUGCAUUUGCAUUUAGUUUUCCAAAUUUUCAAUUUGGUGAGUGUACAUACAAGUGUUACAUGUUAAAACAGAGUUAUCCCCCAUUUAAGAUUUAUGGAAAAUUUUUACUCAUAAAAAUCUACUUAUAGUUUAGAAUCAUGUUUUAAAAUUUAUUUUACAGCUGAAAUGAUGAAAGCUUUAGAGAAAAAGGAUGAUGAAAUUUAUCAUGAAAGAGAUGAGCAACAAUUAUUACAAUCUCAACUGGAACUGGUCAAUCAUAUUUACAAUGGGCAGUUGAGGCGAGUUCAGGAUCUAGAACAAGAUAAUAAUUUCUUGAGAGAUAAUAUACAUCAAUUAGAAAACGGAGCAGAACAAGAUAGGGAAGAUAAUAAUCGUCUAAGGGAUAUAACUGAAGUACAGGGUAGACAUGUGUACCAGUUAAGGAGGACAAUAACACAGAAAGAUAGACAGAUUUGUGAUCAGUGUAAUACGUUGAGGGAUUUAGAGGAUACAAAGGGAGAGUAUGGGUCCGUUAUUAAAAGGCAGAAAUUAAUGAUAAAAGAGAAGAAAGAUGAAGUGAAGGCACAAAGUGCUACAAUUAAUGAACAGAGUGCUACAAUUAAUGAACUUAAUGUGAAAGAUCAAGAAAAGACUGCUACAAUUAAUGAACAAAGUGCUACAAUUAAAGAAAUAAAUGUGAAAAAUGAAGAACAGAGUGCUACAAUUAAUGAACAAAGUGCUACAAUUAAUGAACUUAAUGUGAAAGAUCAAGAAAAGACUGCUACAAUUAAUGAACAAAGUGCUACAAUUAAUGAUCUUAUUGAGCAAAAUCAUGACAAAUGUAAAACCAUAAAUGAACUAACUGAACAAAAUGGCAGCAAAACAAAAGCAAUAGACAAUCUGAAAAGUAAAAUCGAUAUGGAAGUUCAUGUUGGUCAGACCAAAGAACAGAUUAUUGCGGAACAGAGCCAGCUGAUUGAGGAACAGAAGGCAAUAAUUGAGGAACAGAAGGAAAGUUUAAGGAAGUAUAAAAUGAAUGAUGAAGAUUUAAGAAGACAUAUGGUAGAACAAGACAGAAUUAAUCAGGAUCUUUAUGAUCAGUUAAAGGAUGUUAAAAUGUUGUGCAAGUAAGUACAUGCUAUGCCUUCAUUUGCUUAUAUACAACAUUACUUAUAUAUAUAUAGAAUGUUAACAUACAUUUUAUAAAGUGUAGCCAUAGUUUGAUAUCCACCCACAAUAUACAUUGUAGAACAAAAAAUAAUCUCUAAAGUCAUACAUGAAAAUAGUCUGGAGUGAUACUUGUUACAGUAAAUGUUAUUUACAAAGUAUUUUGGAGGUAGAGUUAUCUCCCCUAGUGAUCUAGGUUGUUUCUACUCAUAUAAUAGUUAUUUAUUAAGGUACCAGGAUGAUAAUUUUACUACGCCAGACGCACGUUUCGUCUACAUAAGACUUAUCAGCGACGCUCAGAUCAAAACAGUUAAAAGUAAGAAAGUCAUAUUUUUAUUUUUAUUUUUCUCUCAUGACUUCACAUACAUUUUUGAACAUUAAUAUUGCUUUUGGAGAGUGUUUAAUUUUCUGUCUUUAAUUUUCUUUUUUUAUAUUACAACUAUUCUUAAAAGUACAACUUCAUAGACAACUAAAAUUUCAUUUUCAAAUUGAACCAAAAGACAUGCAUUUGUUCACUGUUUGAUAAAAUGUAAUGGGGACUUGCAAACAUUUACAAUAAAAGUGUAUUACGCUUAAUUGCUUACAAGUCAAUUAUACAUGUAUAUCAUGUCUUGGCCUUUCUUUACCAUACUAGUCAUGUCAGUACUAUACAUUGUACUUUAUCAUUAAUCUAAAAAGACAUUUAACAACAACAAAAAAACAUCACAAAAAAGUGAUUAUAAUAUUCAAACAUUAAUGAAUUAAGGAGAUGUAUCACUACAGAUUAUUGGGGUUUUUACACAUUGACAUCAUAAAAUAUCAGCCACUAUCAACAAUGAUAACUAUGCACAGAGAAUGAGCUAAAAAGCGUCACAUUGUGUGGAGCGGCUGAUAUUUUAUGAUAUCUACAUGAAGAAAACCCAAUUAUCUAUUUAUCGUUCCAUUUCUCCUCCUUAAGACAGUUUUAUGCUUGACGAAAGCAUGCUUGAAUGAUAACAUCUCCUCACAAAUUAAGAGGUCCCUGAAAACUUCUCAGACAUUGUGAUGUUGCUGAUAAUGUCUGGUCUCAUCAUUUUAAAGCUGUGAUAUGAGAAUUAUGGAGUGACUGAGUAGGGUGAUAUAGACGUAGGGACACAGAUAAAUAAUGAUAUCAGUUUGUUCUUAUUGCAAAAUGUACAGUAAUAAAUAAUUUCUAUUUUCAGUAAGCUGAUGAUGAAAAUACAAGCCAAAUCACAGAGUCAGUAGAAGUUGUUUGAUUCAGCAAAAUCUUGGUGCAGCUAAUUUAUUAUGUUCAGUGUAAUUUUUUUCUUUGUACAAAUGUUUAUAUGUAUAUAUUGUUAAUGAAUGAAAUUGCUAUUUUAAUAGACUUUUGAAUAACAGACUAGUGUC